CGAUUGGGGGGUGCUAUACAUGCAAGUCGAGCGAACUGAUUAGAAGCUUGCUUCUAUGACGUUAGCGGCGGACGGGUGAGUAACACGUGGGCAACCUGCCUGUAAGACUGGGAUAACUUCGGGAAACCGAAGCUAAUACCGGAUAGGAUCUUCUCCUUCAUGGGAGAUGAUUGAAAGAUGGUUUCGGCUAUCACUUACAGAUGGGCCCGCGGUGCAUUAGCUAGUUGGUGAGGUAACGGCUCACCAAGGCAACGAUGCAUAGCCGACCUGAGAGGGUGAUCGGCCACACUGGGACUGAGACACGGCCCAGACUCCUACGGGAGGCAGCAGUAGGGAAUCUUCCGCAAUGGACGAAAGUCUGACGGAGCAACGCCGCGUGAGUGAUGAAGGCUUUCGGGUCGUAAAACUCUGUUGUUAGGGAAGAACAAGUACGAGAGUAACUGCUCGUACCUUGACGGUACCUAACCAGAAAGCCACGGCUAACUACGUGCCAGCAGCCGCGGUAAUACGUAGGUGGCAAGCGUUAUCCGGAAUUAUUGGGCGUAAAGCGCGCGCAGGCGGUUUCUUAAGUCUGAUGUGAAAGCCCACGGCUCAACCGUGGAGGGUCAUUGGAAACUGGGGAACUUGAGUGCAGAAGAGAAAAGCGGAAUUCCACGUGUAGCGGUGAAAUGCGUAGAGAUGUGGAGGAACACCAGUGGCGAAGGCGGCUUUUUGGUCUGUAACUGACGCU
rnacentral:rRNA from 1 species